rnacentral:rRNA from 1 species
GACGAACGCUGGCGGCGUGCUUAACACAUGCAAGUCGAAUGGAAAGGCCCUGCUUUUGUGGGGUGCUCGAGUGGCGAACGGGUGAGUAACACGUGAGUAACCUGCCCUUGACUUUGGGAUAACUUCAGGAAACUGGGGCUAAUACCGGAUAGGAGCUCCUGCUGCAUGGUGGGGGUUGGAAAGUUUCGGCGGUUGGGGAUGGACUCGCGGCUUAUCAGCUUGUUGGUGGGGUAGUGGCUUACCAAGGCUUUGACGGGUAGCCGGCCUGAGAGGGUGACCGGCCACAUUGGGACUGGGAUACGGCCCAAACUCCUACGGGAGGCAGCAGUGGGGAAUAUUGCACAAUGGGCGGAAGCCUGAUGCAGCACCGCCGCGUGCGGGAUGACGGCCUUCGGGUUGUAAGCCGCUUUCGCCUGUGACGAAGCGUGAGUGACGGUAAUGGGUAAAGAAGCACCGGCUAACUACGUG